rnacentral:rRNA from 1 species
UACGUAGGGUGCAAGCGUUAAUCGGAAUUACUGGGCGUAAAGCGUGCGCAGGCGGUUUUGUAAGUCUGUCGUGAAAUCCCCGGGCUCAACCUGGGAAUUGCGAUGGAGACUGCAAGGCUUGAAUCUGGCAGAGGGGGGUAGAAUUCCACGUGUAGCAGUGAAAUGCGUAGAGAUGUGGAGGAACACCGAUGGCGAAGGCAGCCCCCUGGGUCAAGAUUGACGCUCAUGCACGAAAGCUGGGGGAGCAAACCGG